rnacentral:rRNA from 1 species
AUAUCUUGUCUCAAAGAUUAAGCCAUGCAUGUCUAAGUAUAAGCAAUCUAUACUGUGAAACUGCGAAUGGCUCAUUAAAUCAGUUAUCGUUUAUUUGAUAGUACCUUACUACAUGGAUACCUGUGGUAAUUCUAGAGCUAAUACAUGCUAAAAACCCCGACUUCGGGAGGGGUGUAUUUAUUAGAUAAAAAACCAAUGCCCCUCGGGGCUCCUUGGUGAAUCAUAAUAACUUAACGAAUCGCAUGGCCUUGCGCCGGCGAUGGUUCAUUCAAAUUUCUGCCCUAUCAACUUUCGAUGGUAGGAUAGUGGCCUACCAUGGUGGCAACGGGUAACGGGGAAUUAGGGUUCGAUUCCGGAGAGGGAGCCUGAGAAACGGCUACCACAUCCAAGGAAGGCAGCAGGCGCGCAAAUUACCCAAUCCCGACACGGGGAGGUAGUGGACAAUAAAUACUGAUACGGGGCUCUUUUGGGUCUCGUAAUUGGAAUGAGUACAAUCUAAAUCCCUUAACGAGGAACAAUUGGAGGGCAAGUCUGGUGCCAGCAGCCGCGGUAAUUCCAGCUCCAAUAGCGUAUAUUAAAGUUGUUGCAGUUAAAAAGCUCGUAGUUGAACCUUGGGUCUGGCUGGCCGGUCCGCCUCACCGCGAGUACUGGUCCGGCUGGACCUUUCCUUCUGGGGAAUCCCAUGGGCCUUCACUGGCUGUGGGUGGAACCAGGGACUUUUACUGUGAAAAAAUUAAAAUGUUCAAAGCAGGCCUUUGCUC